AUUGAACGCUGGCGGCAGGCCUAACACAUGCAAGUCGAGCGGAUGAGGGGAGCUUGCUCCUCGAUUCAGCGGCGGACGGGUGAGUAAUGCCUAGGAAUCUGCCUAGUAGUGGGGGACAACGUUUCGAAAGGAACGCUAAUACCGCAUACGUCCUACGGGAGAAAGUGGGGGAUCUUCGGACCUCACGCUAUUAGAUGAGCCUAGGUCGGAUUAGCUAGUUGGUAGGGUAACGGCCUACCAAGGCGACGAUCCGUAACCGGUCUGAGAGGAUGAUAAGCCACACUGGAACUGAGACACGGUCCAGACUCCUACGGGAGGCAGCAGUGGGGAAUAUUGGACAAUGGGCGAAAGCCUGAUCCAGCCAUGCCGCGUGUGUGAAGAAGGCCCUCGGGUCGUAAAGCACUUUAAGUUGGGAGGAAGGGCUUACAGCGAAUACCUGUGAGUUUUGACGUUACCGACAGAAUAAGCACCGGCUAACUUCGUGCCAGCAGCCGCCGUAA
rnacentral:rRNA from 1 species